rnacentral:rRNA from 1 species
GGGAAUUGUUCGCAAUGGGCGCAAGCCUGACGACGCAACGCCGCGUGGAGGAUGAAGAUCUUCGGGUCGUAAACUCCUGUCGAGCGGGAAGAACACCUUUCGGGCGAAUAUCCCGGAGGGCUGACGGUACCGCUAAAGGAAGCCCCGGCUAACUCCGUGCCAGCAGCCGCGGUAAUACGGGGGGGGCAAGCGUUGUUCGGAAUUACUGGGCGUAAAGGGCGCGUAGGCGGCCCGCUAAGUCGAACGUGAAAUCCCCAGGCUCAACCUGGGAACUGCGUCCGAUACUGGCAGGCUUGAAUCCGGGAGAGGGAUGUGGAAUUCCAGGUGUAGCGGUGAAAUGCGUAGAUAUCUGGAGGAACACCGGUGGCGAAGGCGGCAUCCUGGACCGGUAUUGACGCUGAGGCGCGAAAGCUAGGGGAGCAAA